rnacentral:tRNA from 1 species
UCAAGAUAUAGCUUAACAAAAUAAAGCAUCCGGCUUACACCCGGAAGAUUUCACCCCAUGAAUAUCUUGA